rnacentral:rRNA from 1 species
UGAGGAAUAUUGGUCAAUGGACGAGAGUCUGAACCAGCCAAGUAGUGUGCAGGAUGACGGCCCUCCGGGUUGUAAACUGCUUUUAGUUGGGAAUAAAAAAGGCGACGCGUCGCCUAUUGUAUGUACCAUCAGAAAAAGGACCGGCUAAUUCCGUGCCAGCAGCCGCGGUAAUACGGAAGGUCCGGGCGUUAUCCGGAUUUAUUGGGUUUAAAGGGAGCGUAGGCGGAAGAUUAAGCGUGUUGUGAAAAUGUAGUGGCUCAACCUCUGCACUGCAGCGCGGACUGGUCUUCUUGAGUACGCACAACGUGGGCGGAAUUCGUGGUGUAGCGGUGAAAUGCUUAGAUAUCACGAAGAACUCCGAUUGCGAAGGCAGCUCACGGGAGCGCAACUGACGCUGAAGCUCGAAAGUGCGGGUAUCGAACAGGAUUAGAUA